rnacentral:tRNA from 1 species
GGCUCAGUGGUAGAGCGCUCGCCUAGCACGUGAGAGGCCCUGGGUUCAAUCCUUAG